rnacentral:rRNA from 1 species
AACGAACGCUGGCGGCAGGCCUAACACAUGCAAGUCGAACGCUCCGCAAGGGGAGUGGCACACGGGUGAGUAACGCGUGGGAAUCUACCUAUUAGUAAGGAAUAACAGUUGGAAUCGACUGCUAAUACCUUAUACGCCCUACGGGGGAAAGAUUUAUCGCUAAUAGAUGAGCCCGCGUAAGAUUAGCUAGUUGGUGAGGUAAUGGCUCACCAAGGCUACGAUCUUUAGCUGGCCUGAGAGGAUGAUCAGCCACACUGGAACUGAGACACGGUCCAGACUCCUACGGGAGGCAGCAGUGGGGAAUAUUGGACAAUGGGCGAAAGCCUGAUCCAGCCAUGCCGCGUGAAUGAUGAAGGCCUUAGGGUUGUAAAGUUCUUUCGCCGCCGAGGAUAAUGACGGUAAGCGGAUAAGAAGCCCCGGCUAACUUCGUGCCAGCAGCCGCCGUAA